ACGAGCACACAAGGUUGGGCGGCAGGGAAGAAGAGAAAGACAAAGAGAGAAAAAGAUAGAAAAAGAGAGAGAUGAAUGGAAAGAGUGAGAGAGAGAGAGAGAGAGAGAGAGAGAGAGAGACGACGAGAGGGACGAGCCAUCAACGGGUUAGAUAUUGUGUCAGUCGAGUCGUCCAGCAUUAAAAGUAAUUACGACGUGAUUGACCGAGGGCCUGUUGGCUGAGGGCGAGGCGACGCCGAGGGGGAGGCUAAAUCAUCGGAGUGACGCACGUAGCUCGUUGUUGCCUCCCAAUUAUACAAUCAGCGAGAGCAAAGCGCGAGAGGCAUCGAGGGGUGAAGGCGGCGAAAAAGAUACCGAGAGAUAGGGAGAGAGAGAGAGAGGAGAGCGACGCGGCGGAGAUGUCAGUCUCUUGCGACGAGACGCGAUGCGAGAGAGACGAGGAAAGAAAGAAAGAGUCAGUAGCGGAAUUACGUCAGGAACGUAGUGGGUAGUCGACGAGAUUGACAAAGAUCGGUGCCAUCGCAAUAAUUGCGCCGCGAAACUGGGCCCAUCAAUCGGAACCAGCGAUAGCCCUCGAACACGAGUCCCCAAUACGAGCGACUCUACUCUGAAAACUAUCCUAGGACUUUUUAAUCUUUUGACGAGAUAAUUACUGAUACCAAUGAUACCAGAUAAGAAUAUUCAUCGCAUACAUUGGCAUCGCAUACAUUACAUUAAGGCUUACAUUAUUAGACAGUUAUCACGUUUAAAUGGUCUAAUGAUUUGCUUAUUUCACAGUACUUGCGACAAUUUGGAAGUUUGCCCAAGGAAAUGGAUACGUCGUGCGAGAUGAUUCCCACAUACAAGGAUAACUCGCGAAAGAUUGAUACGUGGCGUCAAAUAUUCGAUAUUAUCAUCGCAAGAACAUCAGUUUCAUCACUGGGCAACCGUGGACAGUGCGAAGAGCAAUCAAGAGCAGCGCGGAGCGACGGAACUUUGUUCUUCUACGCGAGCUUCUUCUCUCGCCACUGCGACAGGAGAAUCACGACUCUGCUGUCUCUUCUAAAAAUGCGCCAUGACAGACGCAAUAAAUUAACGUGAUAUUUUACGGAAUUAUGAGCGACAAUUACCGUUAUUAAUUCUAAAGCAGAUGCUUCGAGAGAGAGAGAGAGAGAGAGAGAGAGAGAGAGAGAGAGACGCAAUAUAAUGAAACAUUUAUUAUUCCAACAAUAACAUGGAAUAACGAUUUGCCGACAUAAAAUGUUCAAGCUUGAAAUAUUUUAAGCCGUCCCUGGCCUCGAAGUGACCAACAAUAAGAGAGACGUCGAUGAAGCGACAUGAAGCCCAUCUGAUCGUGAUCGUUAUUGUCUAUUAUAAAGCAGAGUAACUUGGCUCGUUGCAGCUGCUGGUUCGUACUUUCGUAUCAACGAUAAUAUAGCACAAUUUGCGAUCUAGAAAAUUACCAAACGCAACAUAGUUCUAGGUAUAAACUAGACGAAUAUCAAGUAAAUAGGAAUAAUAUAAAUAAAAAAUGCGAAUAGAGAUAACAAAAAUUA